rnacentral:rRNA from 1 species
ACGGCUCAGUAACACGUGGUUAACCUGCCCUUGGGACGGAAACACCCCCGGGAAACUGGGGCUAAUUUCCGAUAGGUGAAGGCUCCUGGAAUGGAUCUUCGCCUAAAAGACGUUUAGACCAUGCUUCUAGGCGUUGCCCAAGGAUGGGACCGCGGCCGAUCAGGUUGUUGGUGAGGUAAUGGCUCACCAAGCCUUUAACCGGUACGGGCCGUGGGAGCGGGAGCCCGGAGAUGGGCACUGAGACAAGGGCCCAGGCCCUACGGGGCGCAGCAGUCGCGAAAACUCCGCAAUACGCGAAGGCGUGACGGGGUCAUCCCGAGUGCCGUCCGCUGAGGAUGGCUUUUCCCCAUUGUAGAUAGCUGGGGGAAUAAGGAGAGGGCAAGUCUGGUGUCAGCCGCCGCGGUAAUACCAGCUCUCCGAGUGGUGGGGAUGUUUAUUGGGCCUGAAGCAUCCGUAGCCGGCUGGGCAAGUCCCCAGUUAAAUCCAGCGAUCUAAUUGUUGGACUGCUGAGGAUACUGUCCGGCUAGGGGGCGGGAGAGGUCGACGGUAUUCCCGGGGUAGGGGUGAAAUCCUAUAAUCCCGGAAGGACCACCAGUGGCGAAGGCUGUCGGCUAGAACAUGCUCGACGGUGAGGGAUGAAAGCUGGGGGAGCGAACCGGAUUAGAUACCCGGGUAGUCCCAGCUGUAAACGAUGCAGGCUAGGUGUUAGGGCGGCCACGUGCCGCUCUAGUGCCGCAGGGAAGCUGUUAAGCCUGCCGCCUGGGGAGUACGGCCGCAAGGCUGAAACUUAAAGGAAUUGGCGGGGGAGCACAA